AGAGACAGCAGCCGCCGCGGGAAUACGUAGGUCCCGAGCGUUGUCCGGAUUUAUUGGGCGUAAAGCGAGCGCAGGCGGUUAGGUAAGUCUGAAGUUAAAGGCUGUGGCUUAACCAUAGUACGCUUUGGAAACUGUUUAACUUGAGUGCAAGAGGGGAGAGUGGAAUUCCAUGUGUAGCGGUGAAAUGCGUAGAUAUAUGGAGGAACACCGGUGGCGAAAGCGGCUCUCUGGCUUGUAACUGACGCUGAGGCUCGAAAGCGUGGGGAGCAAACAGGAUUAGAUACCCGAGUAGUCCCUGUCUCUUAUACA
rnacentral:rRNA from 1 species